rnacentral:rRNA from 1 species
AGUGGGGAAUAUUGGACAAUGGGCGAAAGCCUGAUCCAGCCAUGCCGCGUGAGUGAUGAAGGCCCUAGGGUUGUAAAGCUCUUUCACCGGUGAAGAUAAUGACGGUAACCGGAGAAGAAGCCCCGGCUAACUUCGUGCCAGCAGCCGCGGUAAUACGAAGGGGGCUAGCGUUGUUCGGAAUUACUGGGCGUAAAGCGCACGUAGGCGGAUUGUUAAGUGAGGGGUGAAAUCCCAGGGCUCAACCCUGGAACUGCCUUUCAUACUGGCAAUCUCGAGUCCGGAAGAGGUGAGUGGAAUUCCGAGUGUAGAGGUGAAAUUCGUAGAUAUUCGGAGGAACACCAGUGGCGAAGGCGGCUCACUGGUCCGGUACUGACGCUGAGGUGCGAAAGCGUGGGGAGCAAA